AUUGGACGCUGGCGGCAUGCCUUACACAUGCAAGUCGAACGGCAGCACGGGGGGUAACCCCUGGUGGCGAGUGGCGAACGGGUGAGUAAUAUAUCGGAACGUGUCCUGUAGCGGGGGAUAACCUAUCGAAAGAUGGACUAAUACCGCAUACGACCUACGGGUGAAAGCGGAGGACCGCAAGGCUUCGCACUAUAGGAGCGGCCGAUAUCGGAUUAGCUAGUUGGCGGGGUAACGGCCCACCAAGGCGACGAUCCGUAGCUGGUCUGAGAGGACGAUCAGCCACACUGGAACUGAGACACGGUCCAGACUCCUACGGGAGGCAGCAGUGGGGAAUUUUGGACAAUGGGCGCAAGCCUGAUCCAGCCAUGCCGCGUGAGUGAAGAAGGCCUUCGGGUUGUAAAGCUCUUUCGGCGGGGACGAAACGGUUCGUGCUAAUACCACGGACUACUGACGGUACCCGCAGAAGAAGCACCGGCUAACUACGUG
rnacentral:rRNA from 1 species